UACGGGGGGGGCAAGCGUUGUUCGGAAUUACUGGGCGUAAAGGGCUCGUAGGCGGCCAACUAAGUCAGACGUGAAAUCCCUCGGCUUAACCGGGGAACUGCGUCUGAUACUGGAUGGCUUGAGUUUGGGAGAGGGAUGCGGAAUUCCAGGUGUAGCGGUGAAAUGCGUAGAUAUCUGAAGGAACACCAGUGGCGAAGGCGGCAUCCUGGACCGACACUGACACUGAGGAGCGAAAGCCAGGGGAGCAAACGGG
rnacentral:rRNA from 1 species